AGAGGUGGAGUCGCAGAGUCGGAGUCGUGAACCACAGCGAGAGGCAUGUUCAAUAUAGCGAAGGCUUAUUUUGCAAACCCAUUUUCAAUGUCUCUGUAUAAGGAGAACGAGUAAGGGGUAUUUUUUACUAUUGGGCUAUAUAAUCCCAUUUAAAUUAGUCCCCUUUCUAACCAAACAUGGGCUUCAGGUCCAAUUUAGCACAGUCCUAUCUAGUGAGCCCUACCAAACAUCCCCUAAUUGUUCGGUAGGAAGUUUACUCCUUGAUGAAGACGAAAGCAAGCUCCUUGAAGUUGCUGAUCGACCCGGAUGGUAGGGUAUGGAGCCAAUCCUGGCUACUCCUCAUAGGGUCCUUGCAAAUACCUUACACAUCAACACAUCCUCGGCCUCGUAGAGAAUCAUGACACUUUUGAAGUGCUUCAAAUGGCUCUCGGGAUAGGAAUCCCCUUUGAAGUGUGUGAAAGAAGGCAUUCAGAAUCGCUUCAGUGUUACCGCUGCUCGAUCUCGGCAAUGAACGAUGAGGAGUUCACUUGGUCUACCUCCUUGCAUAGAACAUCUUUGAAAUCUCAUCCAAUCUUCAAGUCUUGAAGUUGGUCAUUCAUGAGCUUCUCG
rnacentral:lncRNA from 1 species